AUUGAACGCUGGCGGCAGGCCUAACACAUGCAAGUCGAGCGAGCGGCGGACGGGUGAGUAAUGUAUGGGGACUGCCCCAUCGAGGGGGUUACCUACUGGCAACGGUGGCUAAUACCCCCUUCUGUCGGAUAACCCAUAUGGGAUGAGCUAGUAGGUAAGGUAAUGGCUUACCUAGGCGCCGAGCCCUAGCUGGUCUGAGAGGAUGAUCAGCCACACUGGGACUGAGACACGGCCCAGACUCCUACGGAGGCAGCAGUGGGGAAUGUUGCACAAUGGGCGCAAGCCUGAGGCAGCCAUGCCGCGUGUAGGAAGAAGGCCCUAGGGGUGUAAAGUACUUGCAGUCGGGAGGCGUUACCGACAGAAGAAGCACCGGCUAACUCCGUGCCAGCAGCCGCGGUAAUUC
rnacentral:rRNA from 1 species